rnacentral:rRNA from 1 species
CCAGACUCCUACGGGAGGCAGCAGUGAGGAAUAUUGGUCAAUGGGCGAGAGCCUGAACCAGCCAAGUAGCGUGCAGGAUGACGGCCCUAUGGGUUGUAAACUGCUUUUAUGCGGGGAUAAAGUGAGGGACGUGUCCUUCAUUGCAGGUACCGCAUGAAUAAGGACCGGCUAAUUCCGUGCCAGCAGCCGCGGUAAUACGGAAGGUCCUGGCGUUAUCCGGAUUUAUUGGGUUUAAAGGGAGCGUAGGCCGUGGAUUAAGCGUGUUGUGAAAUGCAGGUGCUCAACGUCUGCACUGCAGCGCGAACUGGUUCACUUGAGUGUGCGCAACGCAGGCGGAAUUCGUCGUGUAGCGGUGAAAUGCUUAGAUAUGACGAAGAACUCCGAUUGCGAAGGCAGCUUGCGGGAGCACAACUGACGCUGAAGCUCGAAAGUGCGGGUAUCGAACAGGAUUAGAUACCCUGGUAGUCCGCACGGUAAACGAUGGAUGCCCGUUGUCAGGCUGUUUCAGCCUGGUGACCAAGCGAAAGCAUUAAGCAUCCCACCUGGGGAGUACGCCGGCAACGGUGAAACUCAAAGGAAUUGACGGGGGCCCCGCACAAGAAU